UUUUUUCCGCGCUUCGCGCGGAUUGUAUCUUAUAAAUUUAUUUUAUUUGUAAUAUUAUUUGUCGGUUUUUUCUUUUACAUUAACUUCUUGUUUUUUCAAUGUUAUUUUUUCUUAAUUUAAAUUUAUAUGUUUAUAAUUUUUCAUUUUUCUUGUUAAAAAUAGAGAAUUAUAUUUUUUAUUGAUGGUUUUUUGUAUGUGACAUAAACUUUUUGAAAUUUUAAAAUAAUGUUAUAUAUAGUACGAUUAACACAUUAAAGAAGAGAAACAUAUUCAGGCACAUUUUACACAUGUUUUAUAUGCAUAAUUUUAAACAUUAUAUAUGUAUAUAUUAUAAGUUUGAAACAUGUAAAUGCUUUCUAAAGCUAAAUACUUGUUCUGAGUUUACAUAACUUAUCGAAAGUUUUAUCUCUUUUUAAAUUCAAAUCACAGAAAAAAAUAUCGAAAAGUCAGUAUAGAUGAGUUUUUUGGGCUUUUAAAUCAAC
rnacentral:lncRNA from 1 species